rnacentral:lncRNA from 1 species
UAACAGAGAAGUGUUUUUACUUAGGGUGGUAACACACAAAGACAUUGACAACAAAAACUUGUAUGUGCAAAAAAUAUCGGGGCUGGGUAUUGGCAAGGACAUCACAAUUAAUAGAAGGAAUUAUUCUUAUUGUUAAUCAUGAGUUUACUGUGAGGCGCUAGUUGCCUAAAAAUAAAGGAAAACCACACAAGUAGGGUCUCGAUGAAGUGGAAGAGAAUCUGAUCCACAUGCAACAUAGUGCUUGUGUUCAGCACAAUACCGAGCUGUACUGCAAACCACUCAAGCACAGUGAGCUUUCACUCAACGUACCUCCCAUAGGGUUAGAGCUCUGCACAGUACAAGGUUGUCUCAGCUGUUAACCUCCUCCUCUUUCCUCUCUCUCCUCCUCUUUUUCCCAUGCUCUAUUGUGUCUAGGCUGACAACUGCCCCAACAGGCCUGUGGGUGGGAGGCUCAGCAGGCGAGUAUCUGAGCGUACAUCCUCUGACACUCAAGUCAAAUGUCUUGUGUUUGGAAUCUGCUGCCGGCUCCCCAGAGAGCCAGCCUGCCCCAAACACAUCUUGCAUAAAAUAGCCAAACUGAACUGGGGUAAGGAUGACAGAUGGAGGGACAGAGGAGAGAUGGUGGAGACAUGAGGAAAAUGAGUCAAAAUUUCUUCUUUCUGUCAAAAUAAUAAAUAAAACACACACUUAAAGCUAAUAUGCAAGGCGGUCUGAUAACCUCAGAUGAGAAAUCACUUUAAAUGUGGGUCUUUUUAUUCCACCAGAAAGGGCUGAAAAUCUCCUGAGCCCUUAAAUCUCUGGAUUACUCCCAUCGUUCUAAUUUAGACGUAGCCUCAAGCAAAGAGCAGGCUAAUUUCCUUGUGUCAAAAUUAAUGAAGAAGAUAAUUUGCUACAACGGAGGAAAAAGCACAUGCAUUGCAUGAGCACAUGCCCAAUUCACACAAGCAGGAACUCUCAGACUAUCCUUUAAAUGAACCCCAAAUGGGGCCAGAGAGUGAAGAGAGCUUCCUGCAGCUGAAACAGAAACUAGGUUAGUGCAUCAGCAGUGAAACAUGUGGGAUUUGACACUCCUCUACAAAAAGGUCUUGGAUCUCAGCGUGCAAAAAGCAGCUGUAAUCAGUUCAUGAGAAAUUCUGCAAACGGCAGCUUAGACUUUUAUUUUACCACUUGAAACCUAAUGUUCCCCUUAUUUCUGUCAAAUUUACCCCUAAGUGGUUUCAAAGUAAGAUGAAACACACUGUUCUGCAACACUGAAGUUUCAUUUAGACUAUAUCACGCCAACGCAGGGGGAACUGGGAUAGAAAAUAAAAACCUCAGAACAUAUGAAUAUGAAAACCUGUGUUUGAAAUUGGAGGAGAAUGGAUUGAUGCAUUAUUCCUUUGCCUGACAGUAGUUAGUAAUAGUGAAACUGAGAAUGGCUCGGUGGUAUUUAAGACUAAAAUUACCAAUAAAAUUAAAAAGUCAUGAUGCUGAGGGGAUGUUUGUUUCGCAUGGUAGAUUAAUCUAAAACUAUUCAAUUAUGUCUUCUUUCUUAUUUUAUCAUCUAAAAGUGGGCUUGGUCCUGUACACUGUGUGACCAAUGCACUGGUUUAAAGCGCAGAGCUGGGUGUGCUACCAGAGCGUGCUACCAGACACAGUGUUAUAGACCAGGCUUGCAGCGCCACCUCUCGACAGCUUUGCUGCUUGAUAAGGUUAGACCUGAUCAGACCUGGUUUUUGUUGGCCCAAGGCACAGCCCUGUCCUCUCCAACCACAUCCUCAUAAAGUUAAUUUGUUAUUGACAGAGCUUGGGUACUGGUCAUGAAAAUGAUGACUACGUCAAUGACACCUCCACAGUUUAAAAGCUGCUGAAACACUUUGUGUCUGUUGCGCAAUAGGGGCCUCUGUUUUAGCAUCAUCCACAGUAAUAGCUAACACUUUAGUUCUCACAAAAUAAACUGACUUUGUUUUUGUUUACGGCACUCAAUUUUACAUCAACUGCAUGAACCAGAGUCGCAGCAAAGUCUGUUCUUUGGCCUUGUUAGUGUCAUUGUCCACAAAUCCUUUUUUGAAAUCAGUGUUUUGACAGUGUUCUGUGAAGUGUUCCUCACUGUCCGUCAUGGGAAAAGGCGAUCCCUCGGUGACAGAGCCUUCAGUGUGGCUGCCCCUCCUCUCUGGAACUCUCUCCCCUCUGAGAUUCGCCAAGCACAGACUCUUGACUCUUUCAAGUCUGCUCUGAAGCGACACUUGUUUAUCCAGGCUUUUGGUAUCUAGUUAUUUUUAUCGUAGUGUGUUGUUAAGCGCUUUGGGUAUCUUGAAAGUCGCUAUACAAAUGCAAAAAAUGAUUAUUAUUAUUAUUAUUAAGUGUUUACUUUAUACACGAGUAAACCAAUAUACAAAGACCAAUAUACAAAAUACACAGAUUUGGUAUGUUUGCCUUUCAUAGCCAGUUUUUGUCUUUAAAUUCUGGAUUUUCUCUGCUUUUGCUGUCAUAGGAAGACAUCUGCUAAUAAAAUACUGAAAUGACAUUUCCUCCCAAUAUUUCCCUAUAUCCUUGGGCUUGAGUAAUCUCUAUUUUGCCAGCCUUAUUCCUCCCCAUCCAUACCUCCUAUUCAUAACUACAAAAGAAAUUGAGUAGAGAGAAAUGAAAUGCUUCAUUUAGGUUGAUCAGAUCUGUCCAUUUCUUUCAAACGGCAGGGCAAACUACUUUCUUUGUAUGUGCUCACUCUAAGAUUUUGCUGCAGGCUUACAAGACAUGAAUAUCUCCUUCACAGUUCCCAUGCAUCAGAUUGAAAGAAAAGUGGAGCACUCACAUCCAAGACCAACCUUUCUGGAGGCUAAUAAAAGAAAAGACAUUCAUCUGGGAAUGUAUUCACAUUGUAAAUGGGGAGUAAUGAGGUGGGAAACGAAGACCAUGGAUGGAUGAACUUUGUGUCGAGAGGCUGGGUAUCAGUACCAGGGAACAGGUUGGAGCGGAAGGAAGGAUACGGGUGAGUAUGAUGGUUGAUGGAUAGAUGUAGAAAGUGAGGCGUGGAGGGGGAGCAGAGGGGCUCUAUCUGCCUGCUGCCUCUCCCUAUAGGAACAGCUGUCUCCCAGACUGCAACAGAUGUAGAUUCACAGAGGGGAAAGACAUGAUCUGACAACUCCCCUGGACUUUCCUGCAC